rnacentral:rRNA from 1 species
GAUGAACGCUAGCGGCAGGCCUAACACAUGCAAGUCGAGGGGUAACAGGGUAGCAAUAUCGCUGACGACCGGCGCACGGGUGAGUAACGCGUAUGCAACCUUCCUUUAACUGGGGGAUAGCCCGGAGAAAUUCGGAUUAAUACCCCAUAACAUCAUGCAAAGGCAUCUUUUUAUGAUUAAAGCUCCGGCGGUUAAAGAUGGGCAUGCGUGCCAUUAGCUAGUUGGUGAGGUAAUUGCUCACAAAGGCUACGAUGGCUAGGGGGUCUGAGAGGAUGAUCCCCCACACUGGUACUGAGACACGGACCAGACUCCUACGGGAGGCAGCAGUGAGGAAUAUUGGGCAAUGGGCGCAAGCCUGACCCAGCCAUGCCGCGUGAAGGAUGAAUGCCCUAUGGGUUGUAAACUUCUUUUGUACGGGACGAAACUCCUGGUCGUGACCGGGAUUGACUGUACCGUGCGAAUAAGCAUCGGCUAACUCCGUGCCAGCAGCCGCCGUAAUAC